GCAGCCUGGCGGCGGCUACGGCGGGUGUGCGUUCCCCACACCACUUCAUACGAGUGUCGUCGCACAUGCGGGCUGAUUUGGAGAUAUGGGACACCUUUCUUCGGGAUUUUAACGGGACGGUAUUCUUCCGGCAGGGGGGCGUAUCGACAGCCGAACUGGAGCUGUUCACCGAUGCGUCAGGUAGCGUGGGUUUCGGGGCAUACUUCAGAGGGAGGUGGUGCGCGGAAGGUGGCCGGAGGGG